rnacentral:lncRNA from 1 species
UUACAUAUGUAUACCUGUGCCAUGUUGGUGUGCUGCACCCAUUAACUGGUCUGCCAUUUUUACCCUUUGUCUAUAUUUCUAUUACUGAACAGAUACCACAGUAUAUUAAUUUCUGUAGCCUUAUAAAAUGUUUUGAUAUUAGGUAGAAUAAUCAUCCUAUCUUGUUUUUUUUCUUUCUUUUUGUUUUCAAGUUUUCCUGUUUUUGUUUUUUGUUGCCAUUAUUCAUAUUUGAGUUAUUGGACAUUAAAAAAAGUACAGAAAAUUCCUGUGUAUCCUUCACCCAGCUUGUCCCAACGAUACUAUCUUAUAUAACCAUAGUACAUUAUCAAACCCAGGAAAUUCACUUUGGUAGAAUACUAUUAACUCAUUCAAAUUUCACCAGUUGUUACAUGCAUUUUGUGUGUGUGUGUGGUGGUUUGUAGAAUUCUAUGAAAUUUUUCACACGUGUAGAUUUAUGUAACCAUCACCCCAAUCAGGAUACAGAACUGUUUUAUUACCGCAAAGAAACUUCCUCUUGUUAUUUCUCAAAAGUCAGUCACAUCCUCUCCCCAAAACCUCCUAAACCCUGGAGACCAAAGAUCUGUUCUACAUCACUAUAAUUUCAUUGCACAGAUACAGAUAUAGAUAUAAAACAUACAAUAUGUGAACUUUUGAGAUUGGCUUUCCUUUUUUUACAAAGUACAAUGCCCUUGAGCUCUAUCCAGGUCAUUGUAUGUGUCAAUAAUUUCUUCUUUUUAAUUCCUGAAUAGCAUUCUAGUGUCUAAUUGUACCAAAGUUUGUUUAUGCAUUUGUACUGAAGGACAUUUGUGUUGUUUAUAAGUUUUGCUAUUACAAAGGAAGCUGCUAUGGACAUUUAUGUCAGGUUUUUGAAUGACUGUAAGUUUUUAUUUCUCUAGGAUAACUAUGCAGGAACAUGGGGUUGUAAAACGAAUC